rnacentral:rRNA from 1 species
GACGAACGCUGGCGGCGUGCCUAAUACAUGCAAGUUGAGCGAUGAAGAUUGGUGCUUGCACCAAUUUGAAGAGCAGCGAACGGGUGAGUAACGCGUGGGGAAUCUGCCUUUGAGCGGGGGACAACAUUUGGAAACGAAUGCUAAUACCGCAUAACAACUUUAAACAUAAGUUUUAAGUUUGAAAGAUGCAAUUGCAUCACUCAAAGAUGAUCCCGCGUUGUAUUAGCUAGUUGGUGAGGUAAAGGCUCACCAAGGCGAUGAUACAUAGCCGACCUGAGAGGGUGAUCGGCCACAUUGGGACUGAGACACGGCCCAAACUCCUACGGGAGGCAGCAGUAGGGAAUCUUCGGCAAUGGACGAAAGUCUGACCGAGCAACGCCGCGUGAGUGAAGAAGGUUUUCGGAUCGUAAAACUCUGUUGGUAGAGAAGAACGUUGGUGAGAGUGGAAAGCUCAUCAAGUGACGGUAACUACCCAGAAAGGGACGGCUAGCUACGUG